UUUAAAUAAAUUUUUAAAGUGGGGCCUGGUCAGUGAAUUUAAAUUUAAACACACGCCUUAGAAUGAGGGUGAUAAUGUAGCAUAAUAAAUUGACAUUUAAUUGAUGUCUGGGAGGAAUGGUGAAACGAUUUUAACAUUGUCUCAACUUUUUAGUGAAUGAAAUUGAUUAACUUAUGAAAAUUUAAAUUAAAUUUUAUAAGACGAAAAGACCCCAUAAACCUUAACUAUAUUAUAUUUUUUAAAAAUAAUGGUAGUUUAGCUGGGGUGGCUGUCUUUUAAUUAAACAAAGGUUUAUAGAUUAAAAUUAUACUACUUAUCUUAAUAAAUUAUAAAAAUAUAUUUAGAUCUUAAAAAAGAAAUAAUGAUCAGUUUUUUCUAAGAAACGAUUAACUACAAAUAAUAAAAGGUACUUUGGGGAUAACAGCGCUAUUAUACGAUAAAGACUGUUAUUUAUCUUAAAGUUUGCGA
rnacentral:rRNA from 1 species